AUCGCUUCUCGGCCUUUUGGCUAAGAUCAAGUGUAGUAUCUGUUUUUGGCCACAAAAGCCAAGCGUUCGAGAACGGAACAAUGGCUAUGACACCCCACGAGCAGCCGAUCCCAA
ensembl:snRNA U2 U2 spliceosomal RNA